UGCGGCAGCCAGCAGCUGAGAUCUGUGGUCCUCGCUCUCGGUGGGUUCCGGCGGCUUCACGCCCACUACAUCUGGCGUCUCAGCAAGGCCUCCUCCUCCUCGAGCUCCGUCCCUUCAUUCUCGUCGGCGGCGUCCUCCUCUGAUUCGCCUUGGGCGGCGGCUCCGGUGAAGCCGAUGCUGAACCCGAAGCCGCCGAGCGCUCGGUGGGGAAAGGACGAGGUGAAUCUGUCCCUCUCGCUCUUCUCGAUUCGGUUUUACGAGAAGAUGAACUACGCAAACAGAGGAAGAUGAUCAGAAAUUAAACCCC
rnacentral:lncRNA from 1 species